GAAGCUUCAUCCAGCAAGAGGUAUGGUAAUAGUUUUUCCAAGAAGAAAUAAAAUGAAGCUAAUGCAGUAUCUGUUGGGAGGCAAAGGAUGCCUCAUGUAAGGAGAAGUCAACCACCCCAUCAACACCAUUAUCAAGUAUCAUAUGUAACUCCGGUAUUUUCAAACAGUCAAUCAACACCAAUUCAACAACAACGUCAACAACCACCA
rnacentral:lncRNA from 1 species